rnacentral:rRNA from 1 species
GUGGAUUAGAUACCCUGGUAGUCCACGCCCUAAACGAUGUCGACUGGUUGUUGGGGGUUUGACACUCUCAGUAACGAAGCUAACGCGUGAAGUCGACCGCCUGGGGAGUACGGCCGCAAGGUUAAAACUCAAAGGAAUUGACGGGGACCCGCACAAGCGGUGGAUUAUGUGGAUUAAUUCGAUGCAACGCGAAAAACCUUACCUACCCUUGACAUGUCCUGGAGGCCCCUGAAAGGGGGCUGUGCCCGAAAGGGAACGGGAACACAGGUGCUGCACGGCCGUCGACAACU